CUAUACAUAGAUGUAAUAUGAGAAGCAUACUCCACUGAUAGAUUUAUAUGUCCAAAAUAGGAACUAAUACCAAUAGCACUACAAGCUUUGUAUUCAUAUCAUCAUAUGCGGCCAAGAUAUUCUGCUUUUGUCCUAUAGGGUGCAUCUGAUUUCCAUAUUGUUGAAUUUAUGUUUGUCAUGCACAUACUUAUUCAAAGGCUUCACAGUGGUUAA
rnacentral:misc_RNA from 1 species